rnacentral:rRNA from 1 species
UACGGUGAAUACGUUCCCGGACCUUGUACACACCGCCCGUCAAGCCAUGGAAGCUGGGUGUACCUAAAGUCGGUAACCGCAAGGAGCCGCCGUAAGGGUAAAACUAGUAACUGGGGCU